GGCGAAAAGCCCGGGUUACGGAGGAAGUAGCUGCAGGAGUAUGAGAUGAAUAUUCCUGGGAAUUAUGUGAUCGGUGAGAGUGGCGAACGGGUGAGUAACACGUAGGUAAUCUGCCUCUGGGCGGGGGAUAGUCCACGGAAACGUGGCUUAAUACCGCAUGAGAUUGUUCUUCAUAAGAAGAAUAAUGAAAGGUGCGUUUGCGCCACCUGGAGAUGAGCCUGCGGUCCAUUAGUUAGUUGGUGGGGUAAAGGCCUACCAAGGCGACGAUGGAUAGCCGGCCUGAGAGGGCGAUCGGCCACACUGGGACUGAGACACGGCCCAGACUCCUACGGGAGGCAGCAGCUAAGAAUCUUCCGCAAUGGGCGCAAGCCUGACGGAGCGACGCCGCGUGAAUGAAGAAGGCGGAAACGUUGUAAAAUUCUUUUCUUAGGGAAGAAUAAGGGGAGGAGGAAAUGCCUCUCUGAUGACAUUAACUGAGGAAUAAGCCCCGGCCAAUUACGUGCCAGCAGCCGCGGUAAUACGUAUGGGGCGAGCGUUGUUCGGAAUUAUUGGGCGUAAAGGGCGUGUAGGCGGUUUCGUAAGCCUGGUGUGAAAGGCCACAGCUCAACUGUGGAAACGCGCUGGGAACUGUGAGACUAGAGUUCAGGAGGGGAAGCUGGAAUUCCUGGUGUAGGGGUGAAAUCUGUAGAUAUCAGGAAGAACACCGAUGGCGAAGGCAAGCUUCUGGCCAUGGACUGACGCUGAGGCGCGAAAGCGUGGGGAGCGAACAGGAUUAGAUACCCUGGUAGUCCACGCUGUAAACGAUGUGCACUUGGUGUAGGAGACGUUGAGUUUUCUGUGCCGGAGCUAACGCGUUAAGUGCACCGCCUGGGGAGUAUGCCCGCAAGGGUGAAACUCAGAGGAAUUGACGGGGGCCCGCACAAGCGGUGGAGCAUGUGGUUUAAUUCGAUGAUACGCGAGGAACCUUACCAGGGCUUGACAUGUACUUGGAGAUCUAAGAGAUUAGGUUGACCUCUUUGAGGACGGGUACACAGGUGCUGCAUGGCUGUCGUCAGCUCGUGUCGUGAGAUGUUGGGUUAAGUCCCGCAACGAGCGCAACCCUUACUGUCCGUUACCAUCAUUAAGUUGGGGACUCAGACAGAACUGCCGGUGACAAACCGGAGGAAGGUGAGGACGACGUCAAGUCAUCAUGGCCCUUAUGUCCUGGGCUACACACGUGCUACAAUGGCCGGUACAGAGCGUUGCGAAACGGUGACGUUUGAGCAAAUCGCAAAAAGCCGGUCUCAGUUCGGAUUGGAGUCUGAAACUCGACUCCAUGAAGUUGGAAUCGCUAGUAAUCGCGCAUCAGAAUGGCGCGGUGAAUAUGUUCCCGGGCCUUGUACACACCACCCGUCACACCACCCGAGUUGGGGGUACCCGAAGUCGGUAGUCUAACUGCUUGCAGAGGACGCUGCCGAAGGUAUGCCUGGUGAGGGGGGUGAAGUCGUAACAAGGUA
rnacentral:rRNA from 1 species